rnacentral:rRNA from 1 species
CCUACGGGAGGCAGCAGUGAGGAAUAUUGGUCAAUGGCCGAGAGGCUGAACCAGCCAAGUCGCGUGAGGGAAGACGGCCCUACGGGUUGUAAACCUCUUUUGUCGGGGAGCAAAGCGAGUCACGUGUGACUCAUUGAGAGUACCCGAAGAAAAAGCAUCGGCCCACUCCGUGCCAGCAGCCGCGGUAAUACGGAGGAUGCGAGCGUUAUCCGGAUUUAUUGGGUUUAAAGGGUGCGCAGGCGGAGGUGCAAGUCAGCGGUCAAAUUGCGGGGCUCAACCCCGUACUGCCGUUGAAACUGCAGCCCUUGAGUGCGCGAGAAGUAUGCGGAAUGCGUGGUGUAGCGGUGAAAUGCAUAGAUAUCACGCAGAACUCCGAUUGCGAAGGCAGCAUACCGGCGCGCAACUGACGCUCAUGCACGAAAGCGUGGGUAUCGAACAGGAUUAGAUACCCCUGUAGUC